GUUGAUGUAGCUUAUUACUUAAAGCAAGGCACUGAAAAUGCCUAGAUGAGUCUACUCACUCCAUAAACA
rnacentral:tRNA from 1 species